CAUAAGCGCCUUUAGGCACUCGCGUGCGUUCAUUCACUCCCGCCAGCGAAGCGUAACCCACGUUCCCGCGGGACCCGCCGACCCCUGCCCAACCCUCCCCACCCUCCCACAGGCCGGCGGGCACCGUCCUCAGCAACACGCCGCCCGCCGCGCCGUCCUGCAGCCCCGCCGAGACCCCGCCGAGCGGGUCCGCAACCUCGCACCCACGGCCACGAGAGCGAACCACGCGUGUCCCAUCCCCACCAGAGCGCAGGCUGAGGCGGCAACCGGCGGCACCACCACUUCCCGCUCCGAGGGGCCGGGCAGGGCGAGGCUGCCAGCGAAAAGCCCCCCACGGCCCAGGGCAGGGGACCAUGAGCGCCUCACGGCCCCGCCGCGCUGGGGAGACCGCCUGAGGAGAGAACGGGGCCGCCGCGGCCGCGCAGGUGUGUGCAAGACACUGCAUUCCAGAUGAAAAAAGAAAAAAAAAAACAACUUCUGUGAGGUUAUCUCUAAUGAAGGAUUCUGUGGGCAGAGGUUCAAGGUGGAGUGGUUUGUAAUAUCCUUUCCCUUAGUCAUAUGUAAUCGAUUUGAUCAAGAAGCAAUGAAUCUUCUUAUGAAUUCCCUGAUAACUUGUUACAGAGAAGGCUAACUCCCACCUCCGAGUAACAUUUCUGAGGAGCAGUGAAGAGCCAAGUCCUUUGUGAAACACCUACUCCAUUUCUCUGAAACUAGACUGCUAUUUCCUAGCCCCUAUGUUUGAAUGAUAGUGUAGCAGGGCUGUGUUCUCUCUGCAGGUUUUUGGCCCCGUGCACAAAGAGCUAGAAUUCUUGGGGAUCUUCUUUCUGACACUGCAUUGCUUCAGACAUUGCUCAGGGCUGGCACUGACAGUCUGACUUCUGUAACAAAUGCUUUUAUAACUAUCCAGUAGCUAGAUAUUAAUUUUGAAACUUGAGAUGUGAAUAGCUAAAUCAACUCUCUGGAAACACGGCUAUAAAUCUAUGGAAAAAAUUGGCAGAAUGAAACUGCGUUUCAACUGCUCCAGUAGAGAAGCAACGCAUUUAAACCCCAGCGAUGAAACAGUAUUACGUCUGCAGUUUGACUUCAACAGCUGAGUAGCAGCAGUUUUAUGGUCCUUUUGUUGUGAACUGCACUGGAACUGCAUUUUCCUGCAGAACUGGAUUGGAAAUCAGCAGGGCUGUAAGUCUCCCUGCCUACCCUGUAACAGCAGAUGAGGUCUUGUGGUGGGUUACAGUUAGGUUGAUUCACACGGAGGAUGUGGUACCGCUGAUUCAGCCUGCUAAAAAUGGCCAUGGAAGUGAGGAAACCACAGUGAACAGAGCUACAUGGAUGACUUGUACUUGGUAAUCAAAGCUUGUAUUUGCCUACCAACAUUCUAAAUGUCUUUCUUGUUUUUGUUUUUAAUUUCUGGUAGCAUACUAUCAUCAGUACGAUAGGCACUAAACAGUCUAUAAUUUCAGCAGAGGCCAGUGAGUGGCCAGCUUUCCACUUGCCCCACGCUUGCCGCAGUGCAGUAUUGAAUAGCCCAUGCCACCGUGGCUUAUGUUACCUCUUUUUUAUGAAAAGAGAUUGAGACAACUGGUUUGUAAUUACUGAAGGACAAUAAAGUUACUGAUGGUGAGAAAGAAUUGUACUUUGAAUAAAUUAACUGGCCUAAAAUAUGCAAGACCUUGACUCUGGUUUCCCAGAAGUUGUUAGAUAGGUAAAAGGCAAAGUGGCUAAAUAUUCACAACCUAAGAGACACAGAACUGUGGUGUUUUAUAGUCCCUUUGCAGGACACUGCUGUCGUAGGUCAAGAUAGCUUGUGCCUUUGGCUACUCAAUUGCUCUUUCCUUUGAUGAGCUUUCCAAGUUUCUGCCCCGUUUGUGCUUCUGACAGGGAGAAGUCCUGCAAGUCAUCAUCUUCACAUACUGGUCCGUGAGUCAAAAAUUGUUUUUCACUGGUGUUUUUCCUCUGUAAAUCUAGUUGGAAUUUAGCCCUGCUAUAAAAUCCAUGAGCUACAGAGAAUGGCAAAAUUUCAAGUAUCAGGGAAUCUAACCCCUUGCUUCUGUCUCAGAGUGCCCUAAAUCUGAUUUUACUGGGUUUCCUUUUACCUAUCUUAUUCCAAAACUCUACCUCUAUCCUGGAACACCUCAAUAAGCCUGGUACAAUUUACACUUUUUAGGAUGGAGAUAAAAUUUCAGCAGUGGAUUUAGAAUAUUUGAUCAUCAGCAAUUAAGUUGGAGUCACUGCUUGUUUACAUAGAAGAAAAAUCCUUCAGAAUUUAAUUACCUUUUUUCUUCUGUGCUUUGGAAAGUAUGACUGUGUCUGAAGUGUUGAAAAUACAAGUUAAAAUCAUAAAGACAUCUCCCACAUUUUUUCAAUCUCAGACACAAACCUGCAGAAUCCACUCCUCUAAUUUUGAAUUCCUUUUGAAGAUUUGCUGUUCUAGUUAAAUAGUAUCAGAUGCAGUCCCACUGUUGAUUAUGAAGGGGUGUUACAAUCCAGGGUAUACCCAUCUUUUCCACACCAGCUGCCAAAGGGGUCUUAUCUAUGUCAAUGACUGUCAAUAAUGGCUAGUGAAUACAAAAUUGUGAAUAUCUUCCCUUUUUUAAUAUAUUGUUUUUGUUAAGAAAAAAGUUACUGAGUUCACAAUUACAUUUAUAAGGAAAUGUACUUUUUAAGGACCUAAAGCCAUGUGUUCUUAGGCUUUGUGCCUCAUGCUGUACCUCUGAGUUUUGCAACAAUUAAGGGCCCUGCUUACUGUGUCUUAUCACUGAAAUAUUUAUGAGUGGUGAGCUAGGCAUCUGUUAUCAUCAUGCAUUUUCCAUACAGCGCAGCAACUAUGCAAUACUACAAAGCCAAGCUAAUCUUCAGAGCUGGCUCUCCACAUUUUCCUUUUAAUAUGCAUUGUCAUAUUAAGGGCUAAACCCCACCUAAGAACACACAUGAAGUGACUAUUAAAAUGACUUGUCCAUUCUGUCAAUAGACAAGGAGCAUGCAUAAGUAUCCUGGUAAAACAAAACAGGCUUAGUGACCCUCUUCAUCCAUCAUAUUCCAAGGAUAUUGGAGUUGAGUCCUUUGGCCCUUUCCUCUAAAUAAAGUGCAUUACAGUAAUAACAAUUAGAAGAAUAAGCUCUGUUUGUUGCAGUGGACUUUAUUCCAGAAUAAGCUGCUCCUUCCUCUCACAAGCUUUCUGGUUUCCCUGCCUAUUUUUUGCAGGAAGCCUUUUGUGUAUGGAGAGCUAUCAGAUGGAAGGUAACUGACCUCUCAAUCCCAGUCUCUUGAGCACUCAUUCGUGGCUGCUCUCAUCUAGUCUGUAAUAGGAGCUGUGCUGUGGCAUUUCUGCACAGAGAAAUCACAGAGGUGGCUGAGUCAGAGCAGGUGAAGUUCUUGGAAAGUCAAAAAGGAAAGGUGAGACAGAGCAAGCCAGACCAAUUUCAUAUUUGGGUUUUUUUUUUCAUGUUUUCAUUGUAUUUGACAAUGUUUAUUUUUAGCCACACUUCGUGUUGCUCUGGACCCAAUAUAUAAUCAGUCAUAUAAUGGGAAAAAUUCCUGUAGAGUCACAGAGAGUUAUUUUUACUGAAGCAUAUGAAGGUGUGUAAUUUUUGCUAAAUAAAGGAUGCUAAAUGACAGAGCUUUUUAGUGUUGGGUUUUUUUGUUCCCAGAAUGUGCUAAUAGCCAAACAUACACACACAGUUCCAGAGAAAACAAAGGAAUACAGAAGUACUGAAUACUAGCAGCUGUUCAGGCAGCAGCCACAUGCUGGCCUGCUUUAUAAAAAUUAAUUGGAAAAGCUUCCACACUAAAUAAUCAUCCUACUUGAAUUUUUAAGAGCCAGUUUAAAAUAUUUUUACUUUCAAAGGAAUGACUUCCUACAGAGUUCAGAUCUACAUUUGGUUGUAAAAAUACUUGCCCCGUAUUGCCAGAGAGCAUGUAAUGUAAAGGCCAAAGUGAUUGUUAGAAAUCCACCAGUUUUAGCACAGUCCUUUCUGGAGAGUCAGAAUAAAUUCAUCUUUAUCUAAAUGUCAUUAAAAUCUUUUCAGUAUGGAGAUUCUGCAAAAUAAUUUUCCCUCUUCUUGCUCCAGUGACCAGUGAAAACAAUUGAUUGCAUCUUUGUUACAGAAGCAGGGGGAGCAAACAGAUGAGCUUGACAGUUUUGUGUAUGCAGGGUGAAGUAGGAUGUCUUACCCAAAUUGGAAAACAUAAACAUUAUUUGUCCCAUACAAUACCCCUGUUUCUACAUUAUGGAAUCUUGAUUGGGGCCUUAUUGGUCUUUCACUUAAUCUUUCACUUUUUAGAACAAAUAAGAGCUUGCUCACUUUGACCUUUCGCAAGCAGGCCAUAAAUUUUAAUACCAUAAUAAUUUUUGCUGAUCUGCUUUGGAGUUUUCCUGCAUUUUUCAAUGGUGCAUGAAGUAAUUUGACAGACCAGAUGCAUUUGUGAAGGAUUUUUCUCUAUAUAUUCUUCUAUACGCAUGUACAUGUAUCUCACUAUAGGUAUAGCAUUCACCAACCAAUUGUUUGCCCAGUUACUGAGGAUAUGCCUUUGUACUUUCAAGCCUAUGUUAAAAAAUGAGUAGUCAGCAAGGCCAUAGAUGACCUUUGGCAAACAUAUCAGCCUUAAUGAGCACUCUUUGUGUUAGUGCUCCCCCUCAAUCCUUGUAAUGUAAAAUAAUCAAAAAUCCUUGUAAAACAUAUUUUGAAAUGUUUGGACUGUAAUAAACAUAAUAUCUUGCUAAGGCUUAUUUUCCUUUCACUAGUUUAGCAGUAAAUAUUUUCUCACAGGUGUCAAGCAGCUUGAUGCAUAAUGCGAUUUGAAAUGAGAUUAUUUAAAGAUUACUUGUCAGCAACAUUUGUACUUUUGUACUUCCAUUUGGGACUUCUGGCAUUAUAAUGUGUUUUAUAUUUAGUAUCUUAACAUUUUUCACUAGCUUAUUCCUCAGUUCUUCACUACAGAAAUAGAAUGGCCUCUAUUGGGCUAGAGAGGUUUUAUUUUGGCCAUGUUAGACAUCAUGUUUGUUUUUCAGAUUUGAAAUCUGUGCCUCUUGCCCCUCUUCUUUUUCCUAGCCUGAGAGCAGGGAAUAUUUUGCUAAAAAUUCUAGGGGCAAAAAAACUCAGUAGACUGCACUGAGAACAUUUUUUUUGUGACACAAGUUUAUGUAGACAGAGUGUCCCGGUAAUCGUCUAGAGGAGACUGGGCAAGGCUGCAUGACCCAGCUUUAUACUCAUCUCUUUGAAAGGUAUUCAUAACUGCAAUGACCAGUAGUUGAGGUAAACAGAAAGGAAGGCAUGAAGGAAAGAGCUGGUGGGCUUAUGGUUGGGUACUGAAGGCAGCCAAGAGCUCAGUUUGAGAGGCAGAGGGAGGUUAUGAAGCAGCCUUGGCUGAGCUGUGAAUCUCCUUUCCCUGGUAUUAGAAAAACUGCCAACACUAGAUUCUCGUGCAGAUGUCUCUUUUUUCCUCUUUUCACAUUUUCUUGUUGCCCUAGGCUUGGAGACAGGAGUACCACUUCAAGGCCUAAGCAAGCAUCGCCAACUGAUAGUCGUAUGUCACUCAAAUAUGAGGCAGCCUUGACUUACCUGUGUCUUUCAGCCAGCCACUUAAAUUCUCCAUGCAUUGGUUCUCAUACCUAGGGAUGCGGGUGUAAUGCUCAAUAAUUUUAUGCAUUAAUGUUAAUGGCUAUGCUGCGUUAAGGCGUUCGGUAGUCUACAACUGCCGCAAACUAGAGCAUCUUGACUUUCUGUCACUGGAAUAGACCACAAAGAAUAUGUUCAUUUGAGCAGCUCUGUCAGCAGUGGAUAUGCCUACAAAGAUGGUGAGCUGCUUCCCUUGCAUAUGUUCUGUGUUAGCUACUGAUAUCUUUGUCCUUGAUGAUUUCAGUCCCUUAUGUUUUGGGAGUUUAAUCAUAUCUUCUGGAACAUAGUGCUCUGUUCUUUACAAAACUCUUCUCCAAGGCUUGCACACAUAGAUGGGGCAACUGGCUUUUAAAAGAAGCAGUAUGAUUUGCAGCAUAUAUCAUAAGACAGAAAAAAGCCUAAAAAAACAUAUUGAGAGACAGAUGCUACCCCAGAUAUCAAAGUUUUUAUUUCUGGAUACUAGCUUUUAAUCUGUGAAACCUAUACUUUGGUCUGAACACUUUUGCUGCUCACUCAGGAAAAUAACUAGAGGUACCAUUUAAAGAACCAUUUAAUUUUCGAGAAAAGUGAUAAUGUCUAUUUGUAUAAACCUAAAGUAAAGGAUAAUCUUCUAUUAAGGGUGUGUUCAGGCAGUAUGUAUAUUUAUUUACACUCAGGUUACAGCAUUAUCUAGAGGUAACAGCUGAACAGAGCUGUGCUUAAAUAAUCCUCAGUCUUUUCUUCUUUGCCUUAAUUUGGUUUUCUACAAUCAUAGACAUUAGCUUAUGUGAAUGGACUGACAGUUUAUAUGAAUGAUUAUUCACAUUUUGAUGUAUAAAACUAUAAAGCAGACAUUCAAAAUACACAUUUGUAAUUUGGUGAUAUUAUUUUCUGUAUCUGACAUUUAAAUUAAAAGAGAAUUUAAGAGAGUGGAAGAUGAUACUUGACCAGCUAGAUUUUGAAUUGACAGUUCCAGAAUGAAAUUAAGCAAAACCAGGAAUGUACGUGUUAUCUCCUGGUACUUAAUGAAAUAAGCAGCAUCUUGUUGACUGAGAUUGCUAUUCUCUAAAAUAAGUGACUUCUCUUUUGCUUACCAUUAGGUUUCCCCAUUCUUCCACUUCUGAAAAUUUAGGCACUUUCUUUGGAAUACGUACUCUGUUUGAAUUGGUUUAUAAAAUGUUCCUAUUUGGGCACCUGUUAAUCAAGAUAUGUGAACUGGGAAACACUCUUAAGAAUUAAAGAUUCCUCCAAAUAGUGACUACCAGAAUCAGUUCCCACUAUGGGAAGUAGCAGCAUUUGCUCUGCAAGUGAAACGCUGCAUUGCAGAUAAAGGGAGAUGGCAAAGUCAGGAUUCUCUGUGCAUAUAAUGGUAACCACAGGAGUGACUUACAAAUCUUAAUAUGCAACAAGACUUUUACUAAAGUAAUAACAGAAUAACAAUUUUAAUAACCCUCCUCUUUUUUUAAAGCGUAUUUCGAUUCUGAAAGUACUCCUGCCCAUAAACAGCACAGUGCAUUUUAAAACCACGUAUUGGGUGACUUAUUCUUUACUGACUCACUAUUUAUUGUUCUACCAAGAGCAUUUUGUGAGGCUGGGAGCUACGUACCAGGCAAGCAUCUUAAAUUGAGUUGUGUAAUUUUAGCCCUUAUGAGUUAUGCACAGCAAUAACCAGGAUAAUACAGUGAGAAAAGCUAUGCUUUUACUGCAGGCCAUUUUUCAGAGUUUCUCUUCCAGACAUAGUGCAAAGAGAAAUCAUCUUUUAUUUUCUCAGUGCACUUUCCCAUUUUUCAUUCCAUUAACAUUUUUCUCAAAUGCUUUUUUCUACUGCAGUUCAUCCAGCAAGCGUUCCUCUCUUUUUCCUUCCAUUCUUUUCAUUUUAAUAGCUCUUGCACUUACCUAUUUUUAGAGGGGUUGUAAGUACACAAGCACACAUAAAUACACAUUCUAUCUCACAUCUCUUUAUUUGGUAUGCCUUUCACUUGGGAUGCAGCCUACGUUCUCUUCUUAGGUUCUCAAGUUUUAGAUCAUACAAAGCACAGAAAAAAAUAGUUCACACAUGUUAGUUUCCUUGGUGUAAGGUAGAAACUAAGAAGAGAUAUAUGAGGCCACCAAUAUGUCCAGCUCAUCACAAAAGCAGUGAGUUCAAUAAAGAUGUCUUCCAGUGGUAGCACCAAGACUGAAAGAAGGUGAAGAAAUGCUGGCAAAUCCAGUGUCAUAGGGCCAAGCACUGUCUUAACAUCAUGAUGAGUCACAGCAUCAUCAUAAUGUAGAUGCCAGGAGCUAACCACGCUACUUUUGGGUAACUCAAUACUGAAAAGGAUGAGUGACAAAAUCAUUUAUAAUGACAAAAUUUCACUGUCUUUGGAAGCAGGAGAUAAUUCCUUCUGGCUUGUUCCUUUUUUCACUGAGGCCUGCUGACAACACUUGCACAAUACUAUUUCUAUAGCUAGGUUGUAAGGCAGUCUAAUUAUUCCUUAAGACUAAAGUGUAAUCAAGCCCUGCAUCCAUCUUCAGGGAAUUCAUUCAGUGGGUUUCCUGCUAGGAGCUGGGUUGGCUGCCGCCAAGUCCUCUUAUUGUAUAUGUUUAAGAUGGUGUGUGGGUGUGUUUUUGUUUGGGGAUAACUAAUCCCCCACUGUUGACUAUAGGAGAGCCUAGAGUAGAUAGCCAAUUUUUGUACAUCUGAAGUUGUGAGAUGAGUAAGCAUACAACUCUGCAACUGCUGUGAGUCUUAUUGAAGCUGGGUAGGUGUUAUACAGCAAGUACCAACGCUACUGGCCAGUUUCAUAUGCACACAUCUGCCUAGCCAUUCUAUUUGCUUGAAAUCAAGUAGGUCCACAUAUUUUUGAACUCUUUGUGGAUACCAAAUGAAAAAUAAUGAGUGUAUCUACUCCAACAGUAAAAGUCUUAACAUUUUUGUCUGGAUUUGGUGGUGGAAUGUGCUUCUAUAAGCACAGCUAUGCCUGAAAUGCAGAUGCAUGUGACAGUGUUCCAGUGCUUGUUGGUGCCAGCCAGACUUGUUUCAUGCACUGAUGUUACAGGACAUUCACGAAAAACCUGCAUUAGCAUCCCACAUUGAAAUGCGGGAGACUUCAUUUUACCUAUAUGAAAAGCAAACUUUUAUUUCCAAACAGAUCUCUGGGCCAUAAUAAGUUUCUGAAAGCUGCAGCUAUAUUUUCAAAUGACUACACCUUUUAAUAAGGAGUCAAAUGGAAAAGACGAGAGACAAUGGGUACAAGUUACUCCUGGGGAGAUUCCAAUUGGACACAAGAGGGAAAUUUUCCACAGUGAGAAUAAUCAGCCAUUGGAAUAAUCUCCCCAGGGAAGUGGUGGAUUCCCCAGUGUUGGACACUUUAAAGCUUCAGCUGGACAAGGUGCUGGGCCAUCUUGUCUAGAUUGUGCUUUUGCCAAGAAAAGUUGGACCAAAUGAUCCUUGUGGUCCCUUCCAACCUGGUACUCUAUGAUUGUAUGACACUUGGUGCAAAUGCUUUCUCCAAUUUGUGUGAAUUUGUUGUAGCCAGGAAUGCCUACAUACUAUUGAUACACACAAGCAAAUCCAAUGGAAAUGUUGCAAAUUAUGGCCAAGAACAUUACUACUCUGAGUGUACCUGCUUCAGCAGAUGAGUUGGACUAGAUGAUCUCCUGAGGUCCCUUCCAACCCUAACCAUUCUGUGAUUCAAACACGCACAGGAAUUACACAGCUAUAAGACUCUUACCCCAGCAAAAGCUUUGAUCAAGCAGCUCAGUUAUACAAUGAGCAAAUGCAAAGUACUACAUGGAAUAAUUACUGUUGUCCAGAUUGUGAAGACAUUCCAUUGGGUCUAAUCCCUGCUCGAGGCAUGACGGCCCCUUUGGUCACGCUUUAGCCAUUUUUUCUCCAACUUGCACCUGCCCUUGCUGAAGAAUAGAAUCAUAGAACUGUUAGGGUUGGAAGGGACCUUCAAAGGUCAUCUAGUCCAACCCCCCCUGCAAUGAACAGGGACAUCUUCAACUAGAUCAGGUUGCUCAGAGUCCCCUGCGGCCUGGCCUUGAAUGUUUCCAGGGAUGGGGCAUCUACCACCUCUCUGGGCAACCUGGGCCAGUGUUUCACCAUCCUCAUUGUAUAAAAGUUCUUCCACAUGUUUAGUCUGAACCUACAUUCUUCUAGUUUAAAACUAUUGCCCCUUGUCCUGUCAUAACAGCCCAUGCUAAAAUGUCUGUUCCUUUUAAGUACUGAAAGGCCACAAUAAGAUCUCCCUGGAGCCUUCUCUUCUCCAGGCUGAACAACCCCAGCUCUCUCAGCCUGUCCUCACAGGAGAGGUGUUCCAGCCCUCUGAUCAUUUUUGUGGCCUCCUCUGCCCCCUCUCCAAUAAGUCCAUGUCUUUCCUGUACUGAGGGCUCUAGAACUGGAUGCAGAACUGCAGGUGGGGUCUCACCAGAGCAGAGUAGAGGAGCAGAAUCACCUCCCUUGACCUGCUGGCCACACUUCUUCUGAUGCAGCCCAAGAUAUGAUUGACCUUCUGGGCUGCAAGUGCACAUUGCACAUUGUCCAAUCUUUUAUCCACCAGUAUCCCCAAGUCCUUCUCUGCAGGGCUGCUCUCAAUCCCUUCAUCUCCCAGCCUGUAUUGGUACCCAGGGUGGCCCUGAUCCAGGUGCAGGACCUUGUACUUGGCCUUGUUCAACUUCAUAAGUUCACAUGGUCCCACUUCUCAAGCUCGUCCAUGUCUCACUGGAUGGCAUCCCAUCUCUCAGGUGUGUCAGCUGCAGCACUCAGCUUGAUGUCGUCUGCAAACUUGCUGAGAGUGCACUCAGUCCCAUUGUCUAUGUCAUUGACGAGGAUCUUAAGCAGUACUGAUCCCAGAAUGGGCCCCUGAGGGACACCACUGGUUACCGGUGUCCAUCCAGACAUUGUGCCAUUGACUGCUGCUCUCUGGAUGUGACCAUCCAGACAGUUCCUCAUCUACUGAACAGUCCAGCCAUCAAAUCCAUACCUCUCCAGUGUUGUGGGAGACCAUGUCAAAGGCUUUAUAGAAGUCCAGACAGACAACAUCCAUAGUCCUUCCUUUGUCCAUUGAUGUCAUUACUCCAUCAUAGAAGGUCACUAUGUUGGUCAGGAAGGACUUGCCCUUGGUGAAGCCACGCUGGCUGUCUCAAAUCACCUCCCUAGCCAGUCCUAUUACUACACUCUGUUUUAGCAUCCAGACAAAUUAAAAGAGACGAUGCCAGAGGUUGAAAUUUAGGAACAUGCAAUGCAGUCUUUGGUUCUGACCAAACUAGAAAUUUGUUGUGCUUUGUAAAUGAUUCUAAACCAUGUCUUUUGGUUGUGGCUCUGAGUAAAUUUCUGUUUUACCUGUCUAGUAAAUUUCUGUUUUACCUGACUCUGUUACAGGAGAAAGAAGGACACCUAUCCUAGGCAAAAAAAUGCUACCUAUGGCUUCACUGCCAGGGGACUCUCUACAACUGAAAAGACAGGUGUAGGAUAUAUGUAUUUAUUUGACAUGAUAAGAUUUUAUAACAUGCCCUUCAUAGGCCUCGGGUGGAAACUGUAGGGCAAACAUAAACUUCUUUAUAGCUGCAGGGAGUAGACAAGCCAGUAUUUACCUUGGGCAAUUGCAAAGAGGCAAGGGGCAGCCAUAGAAAACACCAGCAGUCAGGAACGAUUCUCAGAGCUCAGUUUCCUUAGAUGUGAGAGGAGGAACCAGGAAUGAAACCUCCUUAUAGCCCCAGCUAAGCUGGGAUGCAGACACAGGUGUUUGGAUUUGGGUCACUUGCAUCAUGUCUUAUGCAGAAAGCAGUUACUACUACAAAUAGAUAUAUCAGAGGCAGUUCAUCCUAGUCAACGUUAUAUUGAAGGGUUCAAGCUCAGCUGCACAACUGUCUUCACAAACAAAGAGGAGGCCAGCGCUCUGCACGUCUCAGAGAUGCAGGCGUUAGGGGUCCCCCUGAGGUGAACAGAAGACUGGGCAGGCAGGGGUGUGGAAAGCUGUCUUAUGAGUAAUUGCAUGCUAUAUGCAUGCAAAUUUGCUUUGCUCACUAGAGUCCAGAUGUUCCCUUCCAUUAUACUAUAAUAAGUACAGAGAACAAAAGAAAAAGGGUUAGAGAGUAAAAUAAAAGGGGUCAGGAGUGGCAGCUUUGUGCUGUUUUCCUUCCUGUUGGAUGCAAAGCCUGGCCUACCGGUUUUCUGAACUCCCCAAUGCAAAGAUCUGUGAGGAGCCCUGUACUGCUGAGGCCCCAGAGGAAGUCAGGACAAUGGAGGAGUUUGCCUCGGUUGAUGAAGACGGGGUUAGGGAGCAAUUAGGCAAUCUGGACAUCCAUAAAUCCAUGGGUCCAGAUGGGAUGCACCCGCGGGUGCUGAGGGAACUGGCUGAAGUCAUUGCUGGACCACUCUCCAUCAUCUUUGCCAAGUCUUGGGAAAUGGGAGAGGUGCCUGAGGAUUGGAGGAAAACAAAUGUUACUUCAGUCUUCAAAAAGGGCAAGAAGGAGAACCCGGGUAACUAUAGACUGGUCAGCCUCACCUCCAUCCCUGGGAAACUGAUGGAAUGACUUAUCCUUGGUGCCAUCUCAAGGCAUAACAAGAAUAAGAGGGUCAUUAGGGGCAGUCAACAUGGCUUCACCAAGGGGAAGUCAUGUUUGACCAACCUCCUCACCUUUUAUGAGAACAUAACGAGGUGGAUAGAUGAUGGCAGAGUGGUGGAUGUGUUCUACCUUGACUUCAGUAAAGCAUUUGACGCAGUCUCCCAUAGCAUCAUUACAGCUAGACUGAGGAACUGCAGUCUGGACGAUCGAGUAGUGAGGUGGACUGUGAACUGGCUGAAGGAAAGAAGCCAGAGAGUCAUGGUCAAUAGGGCAGAGUCUAGUUGGAGGCCUGUAUCUAGUGGAGUGCCUCAGGGGUCAGUACUGGCGCCUGUAUUAUUCAAUAUAUUCAUCAAUGGUUUGGAUGAGGGAAUAGAGUGUACUAUCAGCAAGUUUGCUGAUGACACCGAUUUGGGAGGAGUGGCUGACACACCAGAAGGCUGUGCUGCCAUCCAGAGACCUGGACAGGCUGGAGAGUUGGGCAGGGAAAAAAUUAAUGAAAUAUAACAAGGGCAAGUGUAGAGUCUUGUAUCUGGGCAGGAACAACCCCAGGUUCCAGUAUAAAAUGGGGAAUGACCUAUUAGAGAGCAGCAUAGGGGAAAGGGACCUGGGGGUCCUGGUGGACAGCAGGAUGACCAUGAGCCAGCACUGUGCCCUUGUGGCCAGGAAGGCCAAUGGCAUCCUGGGGUGUAUUAGAAGGGGGGUGGUUAGUAGGUCGAGAGACGUUCUCCUCCUCUACUCUGCCCUGGUGAGACCACAUCUGGAAUAUUGUGUCCAGUUCUGGGCCCCUCAGUUCAAGAAGGACAGGGAACUGCUGGAGGGAGUCCAGCACAGGGCAACAAAGAUGGAGUGGAGCAUCUCCCUUAUGAGGAAAGGCUGAGGGAGCUGGUGCUCUUUAGCUUGGAGGAGACUGAGGGGUCACCUCAAUAAUGUUUACAGAUAUAUAAAGGGUGAGUGUCAUGAGGAUGGAGCCAGGCUCUUCUCGGCAACAACCAACAGUAGUCUUUCUUUCUAUCUGUCCUCUAGGCUUACAUCUGUUCCUUAGGUAACUUAUUAUACUGAUUUAAAAAUACAGUAUUUUUUCACAGAACAUUAAUUUAAACAUUCUUUAACUUUGUAGCAAAGUGCUUUUCAUAAGAUUGAUACAUUGUGUUCCCAACAUCUAAAAACAAGUGGCUACAUAAACAAGACUAGAUCCUUUUCUUCUGUCAGCCCAAAUCAGGGAACAAUAGAGCUGUGUUGAUUUGUACUAAUCAUGCACCUGGCCUUUGUUCAAUGGCAUUCAGUGUCUUUUUGGAAGAUUUAACCUAUUAAUUCCUUUUUAAUUAAAUAACAAUGAUGAUCAUUAGUGGUUUUGUGGUGUCUGUUUUGAAUUAAAUUUGUUCUGAGUAUAUACGUCAUGUUGAUUUGUUUUAUCUUUUGUGAUAAAUGCAAUAUAUUCAAUGACCACAUGCCCUCUUAAGUGGCUCAGCAGAGGGAACAUUUCCUUUCUUUAGCAUAGCAACAUCAAGUUAUAAAAAUCUGACUGAAUACAACUUAUCAGUUCAAAAUUUGGUCCUACUCUUGUGUAUGCAGGGAUAAUGAAAUUCCCAGAAGGGUUUUCUUUUCUUUAAGCCUGGUAAAGGCCUAGUGGGCUGACUGCAGGUGCUUCUGAUUCUGAGCAGCAUGGGAAGGGCUGAGCCCAAGCGGGCUUUUUGGGCAUCGAGGCCAAGGGAUCACAGUUGGUAGUUUGAGAUCAGCCCUCUGUGCUGACGCUCCCCAGCCAGAACGGUUUAUCUAUACAGUCCAUCUAUACACUUAUCUACACAGUCUACACAUCUAUACACUUAUCUAUACAGUUAUCUAUACACUUUCACUCCUAUGGCUGAUGCAAAUACCCUUUACGUUUGUGGAAAGUUUUCUUUGCAUAAAAAAAAAAAAGAGUUAUAUUAGGUUUUUUGGUGACUGUGUCUCACACUGUAUUACAUCACAGAUUUUAUCUGCUAUAACAAUUCUCUAUAAACCUUGGCAAUAUCUUAGAAUACAUUUUUUAUACUCUGUACAUAAGAUUUUCUGCAUGUUUUAAUGAGGUGUGCGAGCCAAAGUCCUCUGAAGUGAUUAGACCUUUCCACUCAGCCACUGAACUUUGGGUCAUGUCUGUGUUUCCUUGAAGAGUUGCCAAGAGCACCUUUAGCUUCUUUACUACUUAGGUUACUGUCCCCAGGGGUGUGUCAUUACCUUUGACUUAACUGAGUACAGUGAAGGGGGAGUUAGAACUUCAUUACUGAUUUGACACACCUUGUUCUUAGGUAAAUUUGAUUAGUUGAAAUCCUUGCCUUAGCCAAAGGAACUGGCAUCCAGGUGCAUUUCUGACUCUCUCUGUUUGUAGCAUCCAGACAGUAAUUCUGAUCAGAAACUAAUCAGAAGUAUCUAGAAUUAAGAUUUAAGGCAGUUGCUGUUACCUAACAAUAUAAAUCCUCUAUUAAGUAGUAUCUCAUGCUGAUAGAUCCUGGCUCAUUAUGUUACUAACACACUGAAUUAAAACUGUGUCUGCAAGAGCUGGACACAGAGCCAUUUAUUUCUGCAUCCUUUAAAAUUGUUUUCUUCAUUAUGACUUCAGGCUUCAAAAAACAGAUCUGAACCAUUCUUUCUGGAUUGAAAUUCUGACAGCAUUCUUUCAUAUUAACUUAAAAAUUACUGACAUUCCUAUGAAUGUAAUUAUUCAUUCUUACCAGUGCACAGUCCUCCUGUGACAGGAAUCUUAGGCAUAGGCUCCUGUACAAUAGAGAAAUCUGCUGCUGUUCCCAGUUUAAAUAUAACUGAACAGAGACAAAAGAUCUUGAUGCCAACUAUUUGUCUUUUUAUUGUGUGUAAAAAUGCAGCAGUGCUCAAUCUUUAUCAACGAGCAGGUGACAUCUUAACAAAGAAACCGCAUCUCAUGGAACAGAUCACGUAUGCUUCACAUUUGGAACGACCUGUAGGAUACUUUGCACCUCAGCCAAUUACCGUGUAAGACAGCAGAAUGUUUAAAAAAAUCUUACGUAUUUUGAAUGCUGUGAGCUGCAAACCAGGAGACACGGUAUGAUGUGAACAACAGGUCAUAGUUUGGUUUCGUUGCUAUAGAGGAGCUCCAAAAUUAACAGAGAGAACAUAAAGACGCGGGCUAUUUUGCUUGCAAUUCUUUAUGCUCAGAGGAUGCUUCAUUGCAGCUCUGGCAAUGACCAGCCUCUUGCAGUUUUGAGAUGUCUGGGCCAGCUGCACAAAGGAGGUUUAUGCUUAUGCCUUGCAGUCUUAAUGCCUUCAGUGAAGCUGUAACAUUCUGUUAUGGCACUAUCCCCUUGAACGUAAAGUAGUUGCUUUUGCCAGGAACAUCCAUUUAAUGUAUUUUUAGAAAAUACAGACAGAUUUACAGGAGACUGGACCUUUGUGCCCUAAAUUUCCUUACAUCAUUAGAGAAAGAUGCAGAAGGUUUUGAGUUUGGGGUUUUGUUUGCUUGUGUGUGUGUGUGUGUGUGUCUUUUUUUGGUUUUGUUUUGUUAUUUUUUUAAAUGAGGAAACCACAAAUUCAAUGGUAAGAGGCAAAAAGCAUGGCAAGAGUGCAUUACAAAGCCAUAAUGCAUUCAUAGCAUUUUCAGUAAGACCGCAUUUUCCAGGCUAUUUUAUGAGGGGCAGAAAAGAAGCAGAGGGGAGAAAAAAAAACCUAAUUCAGAGGACCCCAAAAGGGGCAAAGCUACUAGCAGGAGGGAGAGCUAAAAAUGAAAUGGCUCACAGGUGACUCCAAAGAAAUGGUUACAAAACUGGAGAAAAUUAACUCACCCAAUUCAUUUCGCUGCUGACAGAGGGAAAGGUCAGUGGCUCCGUGUUUUACAUGAAAGCUCCACAGUAACAAAAGCACAGACCUUUGAGCUCAGAUACGGGAAG